rnacentral:tRNA from 1 species
GCGCCCGUAGCUCAACUGGAUAGAGCGCGUGGCUUCGGACCACGAGGUUGGGGGUUCGACUCCCUCCGGGCGCACCA